rnacentral:rRNA from 1 species
GUGCUCUUCAUUGAGUGUCGAGGUGGGCCGGCACGUUUACUUUGAACAAAUUUGAGUGCUCCAAGCAGGCGGUGUUUCGCCUGAAGACAAGUGCAUGGAAUAAUGGAAUAGGGCUUCGGUUCUAUUUUGUUGGUUUUCUGAACCAGAAGCAAUGAUAAAUGGAGACAGGCGGGGGCAUUCGUAUUACGACGUUAGAGGUGAAAUUCUUGGAUCGUCGUAAGACGGACUGAAGCGAAAGCAUUUGCCAAGGAUGUUCUCGUUGAUCAAGAACGAAAGUCAGAGGUUCGAAGGCGAUCAGAUACCGCCCUAGUUCUGACCAUAAACGAUGUCAACUAGCCAUUUGCCGAAGGUUCUCUGAUGCCUCGGCAAGCAGCUUCCGGGAAACCAAAGUCUUUGGAUUCCGGGGGAAGUAUGGUUGCAAAGCUGAAACUUAAAGGAAUUGACGGAAGGGCACCACCAGGAGUGGAGCCUGCGGCUUAAUUUGACUCAACACGGGAAAUCUCACCAGGCCCAGACACUGGAAGGAUUGACAGAUUGAGAGCUCUUUCUUGAUUCAGUGGGUGGUGGUGCAUGGCCGUUCUUAGUUGGUGGAGCGAUUUGUCUGCUUAAUUGCGAUAACGAACGAGACUCUAGCCUACUAAAUAGUCGGAUCCGGCUUCCUUGUGCAGCCGGCGAAGACAAAUCUUCUUAGAGGGACAGGCGGCUUCUAGCCGCACGAGAUUGAGCAAUAACAGGUCUGUGAUGCCCUUAGAUGUUCUGGGCCGCACGCGCGCUACAAUGAAGGUAUCAGCGUGUCUUCCCUGGCCGAGAGGCCCGGGCAACCCGCUGAACCACCUUCGUGCUUGGGAUUGGGGCUUGAAAUUGUUCCCCAUGAACGAGGAAUUCCCAGUAAAGGCGUGUCAUCAGCACGCCUUGAUUACGUCCCUGCCCUUUGUACACACCGCCCGUCGCUACUACCGAUUGAAUGAUUUAGUGAGCUCUUCGGACUGGCGCGCGGCGAUCCUUCGGGAUUGCCGAUGUCGUCGAGAAGAUGAGCAAACUUGAUCAUUUAGAGGAAGUAAAAGUCGUAACAAGGUUGCUGUAGGUGAACCUGCAGCAG